rnacentral:lncRNA from 1 species
GCAGGUAAACCAGAAGAUGAUGCUCACUCUAGCAGCCAGCAUCAUGUACUGGAGUCUGCAACAGCCCGUGGGGGACUCAGAGUCAUGUCCCAGCCCUGCCGAGUCAACCAUCACCGUCGCUACUCCUGAUGCCUCUCCAGCAUCAUCCAUAAACGAGGAGGACGAGAACUCCUCCUUGAGCGGUGAAGUGUCAAACAUGACCAUUGACGAUAAUGUCUCCGAUACGACGACAGUCUCCUCUCAACUUGACAACGAGGAGACUCCUGCGUGUGAAUGACCAAUGAGCAGAUGUAGGAUAUAGGAUCAUCAAUAUCUACAGGUCACUGAGGGAGGAGUCCUUGUCUUUCCUUUCAGCUUCAAACUUGAAUCGCGACCAACAUCCCUCUCAGACAUCAUUUUGUCAGUCGAAGAAGAGAACGCAGGAGGAAUACAAUCGGCAAAAGAGGCGGUCGGAAAAAUUGAUGAAGCAAAUGAAUGAUGUGCAUUCGUUGAACCGCCCGAAAGGUGUAUAUUUCAGUUUGUCGAUUUUGUUGUUGUAGUUCUUUUUUCCUUUCUCUUUUCUGAUGUGGUCUAAACAUGCAUCAGGCCAUGCUCUCCAUGGUUAUUACGAAAAAAGUGGUUUCGGCGCGUCGUGUCAUUUAUAUGUCCGUCGCCCACCAAUUUGCUUUCCCCUUGGGGAUGGUAAAAUCCGCUCUGCUGCCAUCACAGCAUGCUUCUGGAUCAGAGUUUCCCUGGCCUACGACCUUCCUGCAGUUUGUACGACUCUUCACCGAAUGCGUCGAUUUGAAACUUCCAAUACGAUUCAAUCGCUUUCAGGCGAUCGAAUUUCCAUCAUUUUAUUUCAUCCGAUCGAAUUUCCAUAAUUUUAUUUCAUCCAAAUGAGAUCGUAAAUAAGAAGAGUUAUGGCUUUCGGCAUUUUAUAAGUUUGACAGUAAGGAGUGCCAGAGUGAUAUGGUUUCUGAUCAGUUUUUUUUUAAGUGACAAAUGCACUAGACAUAUUAAAAUUUAUCACGAAAAUAUAAUCAAAGUCCUAAAAUUUCAAAGCUUCGUAAGUUGUCUGAAUUAACGGAAUGGAAAGCAUAUUAAAUUUGGAGAAUGAGCAUGGUAAUUAAAGAACGCCACCGCCUGUACGUGCUUUGUAAUUGACCGACUUGGUGGGCCUACGGUUUGGUGAGCACAAUGUUGAGGAGGUUUCUCCGGAGAGAUCAUAAAGAAGGAAUUCCGUAUGAAAACGAAAGGAUCAAACUUGUCAUGAGUCGUAACGGCUAGAGCUCUAUGCGCUGAAAUUGACAAGGUUUAUACAUUUUUUUGGGGGAAAAGCCACCGAAACUCCUAAAUUUUAUCUAAAGUGAUAAAUUUACUCAAAACUUUUUUUAUGACAUGAAAAAUCCUAAAAUUUAAUAAUCGUGACACAUUUAUCCAAAUUUCUUUUUGGGAUACAAAAAAUUCCAAACUUGUAUUUGUGUGAUACAUUUACCCUAAAUUAUAGGGUAUUUUCGUCUUUUACUUUUUUUUCUUCUCUCUUCCCUCCAAAAGAAGCCGAACUUAGGCAACGGCUGCCCUCGCUUGGGCUGGCUAGGGCGACCCUUGCUGGCGUCGGGCAAGGGCGGCCCUCGCUAGAUUCAGCGAGGGCAACACCUAGGUGAGGGCCGUGCUCGCCUGAGUCGAGCUUCCCUCCACUAUGGCGGAGGGAAGAAAAAAGAAGAAAAAAUGAAAAAAGAAAAAAGAAAAAUAGAAGAAGUAAGAUGAAAAUGCUCUUGGUGGGAUAAAUGUGUCACAGUUAGCAAAAUUUGAGGUUUUUCAUGUCACAAAUAAAGUUUGAGAUACCACCCGUGAGGGUGGCUCCGCUGGUAGGCUCCAGGACUUCCACACUGGAGGCCGGAGUUCGAAGCCUCUGCGACGCAAGUUGUAGGGAGGCAGGUGGAGACACUUGGCGACUUACCCGGGGUGCGUGGGUGGUGGUUUCCUACGUGCCUCCCCAGGGGUUUACUCAGAUAAAUUUGCCACUUUGGACAAAAUUGGGAGUUUUUGGUGGCUUUUCCCCCCCUUUUUUUUGGCACCUUGGGAUUCAUUUGGUAAUGCUUCUGUUUUGCGGAAUAAUUUAUUUUCAAAAAUAUUCUUUUUCUAUUUCUAUUCUCCGGAAUAAUUUCUUAAUAAAAUAAUGUGUUUAGUAACAACAUAAAAUUUCUAUUCUUGAAAUGGUAAAAGAAUAAAAAUGUGUUUGGUACAUUCACAAAAAUCUAUUCUAAUGUAUAAUUUCUUUUAAUUUUUUUCUUAUUCUUCCUUAUGGCCGUUGCCAAUGACCACUAACAACGCUGCCCAUUGCUUGUCACCACCGGUUGCCGUUAAUCUACGAUUGAUCGUGGCUAGUGGCUAGUUGCAGUAGUUGUGGGUGGCGGGCAGCGUCAUUGGCGGUGACAAUGUUUGGCAACGACGGUAAUAGGUCAAUGUUGGCAGGCGACGACAGUUGGCCGGCGACGUGCGACAAAAGGGGGUGGCAGCCGACAAAGAAGAAGAAAAGCAAAAAAAAGAAAAAAAGAGCAGAUAAAAUAACUUAAUUUAGAAAUUGUUUUCGAGAACUAGAAAUUACUUUUUUCUACUUCUUGUUUCUGUUCCAAACCUAUUCCCUGAUCACUUUUCUAUUCUAGGAAAUAAAAAAGUUAAUUGACGUUAUGAAAUAGAUUGCUAUUCUUUUUUUGUUCUGGGGAACAAACAGAACAAAAAAAUAGAAAUUGAAAAAAACAGAAACGUUACCCAAUAAGUCCUUGAUGGUUGGAUGGGAUAAGAAUUUAACAGCAAUUGCCAACUAGAAAAUGAUAUAUUGUAUCCCGCAACAAUGUGCUCCAUCACUAAUUGCAAAAAAAAAAAGUAUUAUCAAAAUAGUUCUAAACUUAUUGCAAUUUUUGUUAAUUCAGUUCUAAACAUUUUGCAUUUGUGUCAAUGCGAUAUAUCUUAUCAAUUUUGGUUAGCGAGUGCUAAUGUCAAUGCUAGUUGACAACAGCUAUCCAGUCAACGUUGAUGUGUUAAUUUUUAAUGUUUUCCUUAUUUUUUUUGAUUUUUUUCUCUCUAUUUUUUUUUUUGUUUUUUCUUUUCUUCUUCCGCUAGCUAGUCGCUAGAGGCUAGGGUCGGUGAGGUCGACCUCAUGAUGCUAGCUGAGGUCUCACCUAGCCAAAUCUGGGCAAGCUCGACCUUGCCUAGUGACAAUGAGGCGAGCCUUCACCAAUUGUCCUUGCUAUCGUGGUACUCGCCCAGGUCUCGCCCAACUAGAUCUGGGUGAGGGCAAGCCUUGCCAUGGCUAGGCAAGCUCGACCAGCCCUCGUCCUUGCCGUUGUGGAGCUUGCCAAGCUAGAUUUGAGCGAGCUCAACCUUGCCCUUGCCACCCCCUACCCCAAUGGAUGAUGAGGUUGACUUUGCCGGUCCUAGUCUUUGGACCAGCCAAAAGAAAAAGAAAAGAGAAAAAGAGAAAAAGAGAAAAUUAAGAAAUUGAUACAUCAUCACCGAUCAAUCUUGAUUGAUUAAUUGACAUAAAUACUAAAAGUUUAAGAUUGAAUUGAUAAAGAAAAUAUUUAAGAUUGAAUCGGAAAUAUUGCAAUAAAAAACUUGAUGAUGACUUGAGUAGAAAAUGUGAUGAAGUCCGCUACGUGUUCUUUUCAGAAUUGGCGUGCCGUUGUUUGUCAAUCUGGCGAAGUCUCUCUUUGGUCAAUAAACACGGCUUUCCUCACGCUGGCCAAGGAGGAAUUGGUGGUGACUGGGUAGUUUAAUAUUGUGCAGCAAGCAGCUUAGCUCCGCCACCAUCGGAGCUCAACUUUACUGGGUAGUUUAAUUUGACUGUCUGAUUCACAUAAUUUACGCACUGACAUAACUGUGGGAUUAAUUUAUACCGAGACCUAUAGAAUGUUAUACCAUGUUUGGCGCAAUGAAAUGGAACGAAGAAAAAUAAAACGAAGGUUAGGAAGGAAUGGAAUAGAAGAGGCAUUAUAAUUCUUGUAGUUGCUUGAUGCCAUGGAAUAAGGUAAAAGGUAUUUGUCGAUUUCUUUUUUUGGGUUAAAAAAAUUGAAAUGAAAGGAAAUGGUAUCGAAAUGUCUAAAAUGUCUCAAAAAUGUAAUAUAUGUGGAAGAAAAUAAGGGAAGCACUUAAAUAACAAAUUUUCAUCCUAAUUCAAUUAUUGGAUACCCAUGGUCAAAAUUAUGAGAACUGCUUCCAAUUUUUCCGUGCCAAUAUUUUCUCAGUUGUUAGGUCCAACCGGACCACUUUCCCUUCACGUGGCUAGGACUUCUAGUGCCUGAUGGAAAGAAGCAAAUCAAGAACGGAUUUGCCGAUUCAUGCCCCCCAUGGACAGACAUCAUCAAGUUAAGACGCACGAUCUUUUAAGGACACAGCGAGGGAGAGCUCUAUCAGAGGAGAGAUAAGGGAAAUGGAAGAGGAAGCACGGAACUUCAUCAGCGUGUGGCUCACGGUCCUCGCGUGCGUGUGCUACUGCUACUUCGUCUCCUCCAGCCUCCCGCCGGGCAAGCUCCGGCUCUUCUCUCUCCUCCCCGUCUUCUCCCUCUUCGCCGCCCUCCCUCUCCGGCUCUCCACUGUCCUCCCCACCGGCGUCACCUCCUUCUUCGUCACCUGGCUCGCCUCCUUCAAGCUCCUCCUCUUCUCCUUCGGCAAGGGCCCCCUCUCCUCCAGUCCCGGUUCCCAUCCCGACCCAUCGAAGUCCCUCUUCCUCUUCAUACUCUUCACGUGCUUCCCCAUCAAAAUCAGGCAAGCGCAAGACUACCCAUCUCCCCAAACCCCCAAAUUGCCCCUCAAUUUGCCCUCAAAACUGCUCCUUUUCGGGAUCUCAAUCCUUGUGUACGACCACCAGGACAAGCUGCUACUGCAGGUUGGGCAUGUUUAUUCGGUUUCCUGUGUCGAAGUCGAAUAAGAAUCGAUGUCGAUGUUGAUGUCUAUUCAUGUUACUGCAAGAGCUUGUUUAUUUUCACGGCUUCCUGUAAUUUUCGAAUUAGUUGCCAUUGACUUUAUUCUAUUCGUGUCGAAAUCGGGGAACUGUGCUUGUAGGGGCAUCAGAAGCUGGUUCUGCUUCUCUAUUCGUGCAUGCUUUAUCUCUACGUCGACAUGAUCAUGGGGCUGAGCAACGCCGCCGCGCACGCCGUCCUCGGCGUCGAGCUUCAGAUGCCCUCCGACGAGCCCUACCUGUCUACGUCACUCCAAGAUUUCUGGGGCAGGAGGUGGAACCUCACCGUGACCAACGCCCUGCGGCACACCGUGUACAAGCCCCUGAAGUCGUUCCUCGAACGGCGCUUGCGGGCCGCGUGGGCGGCGGCGGCGGCUGCGGUCAUGGCGGCGUUCCUCGUGUCCGGGCUGAUGCACGAGCUGCUGUACUACUACAUGACACGCGCGAGGCCCACGUGGGAGGUGACGGAGUUCUUCGUGCUGCAGGGGUUGUGCGUGGUGGUGGAGGUGGCGGCGAAGGCGGCGGUGGGGGAGAGGUGGAGGCUGAGCAGGGCGGUGUCGACGCCGCUGACGGUGGGGUUCGUGGCGGCGACCGCCAUGUGGCUGUUCUUCCCGCAGCUGAUCAGGAACGGUGCGGACGAGAGGGCCAUUAAAGAGUGCAAGGCUUUGGUGGAGCGGCUGACGCCCAACUUCUGACACGCGGUACGAGGCAUUCGGGGUAAAUUUAAUGUAGACAACGUUGUUCUUACGAAAUCGGUUAGUCACAUUUCAAGAAUUUUCAAAGCUAACACUGGUUCCUCAAUUACUGGGAAAAAAAAAUUGACAUUGGUCUUUAAGAAAACACAAUCUUUUAUCUAUGUAUAUGUUUUUCACAAUGUAAUUGAUUAUGUUUGACUUUCACUACAUCCGCAUUCAAUGAAUCGAUAUAAAAAUUAACCUAGAUAAUUGCUCAUCAUAAUCUUUUUUGAUACUCAUUAUUCCAUUGAUCAGGAUAAUGAUUGCGGUCCUUUAUUCCCAAUGAUGCUUUUCUUUUGUCUAUUGGUCGUGCAAUUAGACCUAGCUAGAAGAUUAUAUAAUUGUCUUAAUGUGGUGUAGCAUUGUUAUCAUAUGUAUAGAAAUACGAUUUGCUCUUCCAUCGAUGCAAAUUCCGACUCUCACUAAUAAAAAAAUUGGCCUUUGAAACUUGAUAAAAUUAGGCCAUGUUUGAUAACCAUCCAAAUAUGGUCAAAUUCUGAUCUUUUGUUCCCGAAAUCAGUUUGGAAAUAGAAUCGCGUUUGAUAAAACUUUUGUUCCCAGAAACAGAUUGGGAGUAGAAUAAAAAAAAAUAAAUUAUUAUCGUUCCAAAAUCAGAAAAAAGAAUCAAACUUAACUAUUCUUCUCUUUUAUUCUUCUUCUUCAAUCGUGCACCACCAUCCGCCCCCAUCAACCAUUGUCCGCUGCCAUCCGCUGCCGCCGCCGCCGCUGUCGGUCGCCGACAAUCGGUUCAGCGAGCUCGCUAGAGGCAAGCCUCCCUAGGGCUAGGCAAGCCUCCUGAUGCCUAGCCCCACUAGUGACCAGGCGGGCCUCACCCAGCCCUGACGAGGCUCACCCAGCCCCGCCGGUGGCCAGGCCGGCCUCGUCGAGCCUCGGCGAGGUUGGCUUGGCCACCAGCGAGGCUCAGCCUCGCCAAAUCUGGCAAGGCUGAGCCUCGGCAGGGCUGGGCGAGCCUCGCCAAAUCUGGCAAGGCUGAGCCUCGGCAGGGCUGGGCGAGCCUCGCCCAGUUGCCGGCGAGGCUCAUUCGAUGAAGGCCGGCGAUGCUCCGGUGAGGUCGUUGGCCCUUGUCUGGCCUGUUGCCGGACCGGCGAUUGGCCUGGAGAAGAAGAAGAAGAAUAGGAGAAAAAAGAGAAAAAAGAAAAAAAAGAAAAGAAAAAAAGAAAAAAAAAGAAAAGAAAAAAUUAUAAAAAUUAUUUAAAAAUUAAAAGAAAUUAAUUUGGAACAUAAUCAAUGAGCACGGUACCAAACACAAUUCUAUUCUAGAAUAAGAAAUUUUGAACAAUUACCAAACGACUUAAAAUGCUUAGAAUUAGUUCCCGGAAACAAAAUAAAAAAAAAAUCAUUUCUGAUCAGAAUCUACUUCCGGGAACAAAAUCGUUACCAAACACGCCCUUACAUUCCUACCGUCAUGAGUUUUCGGACAACUAUUUCAGCCCAUUUUGUCGGGAGAUUUUAUCACCUUCUUUGAAAUAAUGUUAUGCUAGGAUCAGCCUACUAUAGCAUGAAGGCAUCAAGUCCUUAUGCUUAGAAUCGUCGGAUCAUCACAAUUAAAUUUCAGCCAUUGAUCACCAACAGUUGAGGUAGAACCUUUCAGCCCUUUAUUAAUGGAAUUCUUAUUUAUAUCUGCUAAUGGUAUGCGAAACCUUUAAUUCAGGAUAAGAGUUUAUCUAAUGGAAUAUUCUUCCUCGAGCUUUUGAGUUCAGUGGAACCAAGGGUGGUCAAUUGGAAUCUUGUAACAAAAGGCGAAAGUGGUAAGAUUUUGAUAGUGCGAUGAUGGCUGCACCUAAUUUUCUUUGACAGCUCAUUGGCAUGCUCAAUUAUAGUUCUCGCUUUCAAAAUUCUGCGAAGAUACUGAUUUGAAAUAACGGGUACCUGUGGUCGGUGAAUUUACAGUGGAAGAAAAGAAGUUGAAUGCAACAUAUAUAAUCAGUGUCGCCAGAAAGCUUGGCUGUUCCAUCUUCUUGCUACCUGAGGACAUCAUGGAGGUAAGAAUGAAAAGUCAUCAACUAUUUACUCUGUUAGGAGAAUCUGUUUUAAGGCUUGAGGAAAUUGGCAUUGCCAUUUCUUCCGAAAUCAUUUCAUUUUGUUUGGGUCUAAGAGAUAACACUGUGAUAAGCUAGCAUUGACAUUGUUGAUGAUUAGGUUCACUUAACUGCAUGGGCAAAAGGACUAACUUUUCGAUGUUUUAGCAUUGACAUUGUUGAUGAUUAGGUUCACUUAACUGCAUGGGCAAAAGGACUAACUUUACAUGAGGUGCAGAUGUAGUGAGUCUUCUAGUGUGCUCCUUUGAGAAUCCAAUUAAUACAUUUUAUGGGUGGGGCAGGUAAACCAGAAGAUGAUGCUCACUCUAGCAGCCAGCAUCAUGUACUGGAGUCUGCAACAGCCCAUGGGGGACUCGGAGUCAUGUCCCAGCCCUGCCGAGUCAACCAUCACCGUCGCUACUCCUGACGCCUCCCCAGCACCAUCCAUAAACGAGGAGGACGAGAACUCCUCCUUGAGCGGUGAAGUGUCAAACACGACCAUUGACGAUAAUGUCUCUGAUACGACGGCAGUCUCCUCUCAACUUGACAACGAGGAGACUCCUGCGUGUGAAUGACC